ACCCGCUGAACUUAAGCAUAUCAAUAAGCGGAGGAAAAGAAACCAACAGGGAUUGCCCCAGUAACGGCGAGUGAAGCGGCAACAGCUCAAAUUUGAAAUCUGGCUCUCGGGCCCGAGUUGUAAUUUGUAGAGGAUGCUUUUGGUGAGGUGCCUUCCGAGUUCCCUGGAACGGGACGCCAUAGAGGGUGAGAGCCCCGUCUGGUUGGACGCCGAACCUCUGUAAAGCUCCUUCGACGAGUCGAGUAGUUUGGGAAUGCUGCUCUAAAUGGGAGGUAUAUGUCUUCUAAAGCUAAAUACCGGCCAGAGACCGAUAGCGCACAAGUAGAGUGAUCGAAAGAUGAAAAGAACUUUGAAAAGAGAGUUAAACAGUACGUGAAAUUGUUGAAAGGGAAGCGCUUGUGACCAGACUUGGGCUUGGUUGAUCAUCCGGGGUUCUCCCCGGUGCACUCUUCCGGCCCAGGCCAGCAUCAGUUCGCCCUGGGGGACAAAGGCUUCGGGAACGUGGCUCUCUCCGGGGAGUGUUAUAGCCCGUUGCGUAAUACCCUGUGGCGGACUGAGGUUCGCGCAUUCGCAAGGAUGCUGGCGUAAUGGUCAUCAGUGACCCGUCUUGAAACACGGACCAAGGAGUCGUCUUCGUAUGCGAGUGUUCGGGUGUCAAACCCCUACGCGAAAUGAAAGUGAACGCAGGUGAGAGCUUCGGCGCAUCAUCGACCGAUCCUGAUGUUAUCGGAUGGAUUUGAGUAAGAGCAUACGGGGCCGGACCCGAAAGAAGGUGAACUAUGCCUGUGUAGGGUGAAGCCAGAGGAAACUCUGGUGGAGGCUCGCAGCGGUUCUGACGUGCAAAUCGAUCGUCAAACAUGGGCAUGGGGGCGAAAGACUAAUCGAACCUUCUAGUAGCUGGUUUCCGCCGAAGUUUCCCUCAGGA
rnacentral:rRNA from 1 species